rnacentral:rRNA from 1 species
CGAGGCGAACAGGAUGAAGUGCUUGCACUUCUGACGUUAGCGGCGAGACGGGUGAGUAACACGUAAGGAAUCUACCUAUGAGGGGGGGAUAACAUUCGGAAACGGGUGCUAAUACCGCAUAAUAUCUUCUUCCGCAUGGAAGAAGAUUGAAAGACGGCUCUGCUGUCACUUAUAGAUGACCUUGCGGUGCAUUAGUUAGUUGGUGGGGUAACGGCCUACCAAGACGAUGAUGCAUAGCCGACCUGAGAGGGUGAUCGGCCACAUUGGGACUGAGACACGGCCCAAACUCCUACGGGAGGCAGCAGUAGGGAAUCUUCCGCAAUGGGCGAAAGCCUGACGGAGCAAUGCCGCGUGAGUGAAGAAGGCCUUCGGGUCGUAAAACUCUGUUAUAAGAGAAGAACAAAUUGUAGAGUAACUGCUACAGUCUUGACGGUAUCUUAUCAGAAAGCCACGGCUAACUACGUGCCAGCAGCCGCGGUAAUACGUAGGUGGCAAGCGUUGUCCGGAUUUAUUGGGCGUAAAGGGAGCGCAGGUGGUUUCUUAAGUCUGAUGUGAAAGCCCACGGCUUAACCGUGGAGGGUCAUUGGAAACUGGGAAACUUGAGUACAGAAGAGGAAUGUGGAACUCCAUGUGUAGCGGUGGAAUGCGUAGAUAUAUGGAAGAACACCAGUGGCGAAAGGCGACAUUCUGGUCUGUUACUGACACUGAGGCUCGAAAGCGUGGGG